UACGUAGGGGGCAAGCGUUGUCCGGAAUCAUUGGGCGUAAAGAGCGUGUAGGCGGUCCGUUAAGUCGGCUGUGAAAGUCCAAGGCUCAACCUUGGGAUGCCGGUCGAUACUGCCGGACUAGAGUUCGGAAGAGGCGAGUGGAAUUCCCGGUGUAGCGGUGAAAUGCGCAGAUAUCGGGAGGAACACCUAUGGCGAAGGCAGCUCGCUGGGCAUGAUCUGACGCUGAGGAGCGAAAGUGUGGGGAGCGAACAGG
rnacentral:rRNA from 1 species